rnacentral:sRNA from 1 species
ACUGCCCAUUCUGUUGUUCUGCUAUUCACCGGACAUAUUAAAUGCAUAUCAGGCACUGGAUACAGUUAGAGGAAGCAAACGCUUUGGACAAGAGCCGUGCUCCACAGUGUGGCCAGCAAGGGUCUGGCUGACAGGUCAGCAAUUGGCCGAUUUAUGUCAUUCUAACCUGGUGGAGACCAAGGCGACAUUCGACAUUUGAAAGUUUCUUCUGACUGAACCCUAUUCGCGUAAGCAUGUCGUAAACUGGUCGCCGUCUGAAGAUCUAGACGGAGUCAGAGGCGAGUUAGCAAAUUAAUAUCUCCGGAAUUAAUGGAGGUGGAGAGAGUCUGCAUAAACCGUUCAAUAUAUUUUAUGAUGAGGAAACUCAUUUUAUAGGUGCAAUGAUUUCACGUGGGACCAGGCGAAUUGCCGUAGAUCAAUGAAAUAAUUAUUUUUCUUCACGGUGACACGUUGGGGGGGGGGGGGGGGGGGGGGGGGGAGGCUAGUUCUCAUGGAGUGUACAGACUUUGUAUUACUAGCAUUAGAAUGUAAGUGGACGCAUCUGUUGCCAACAUUUAUAUUAGUUUUUUCAAGAUCUUAAUUCAUUUUAUUCAGAUUGUUAUCACACGCUGAUAAAUGCUGAGGAAGAUCCAUACAUCUUACGUUAAUAUAUAUACUUAUCCUGAUCACAAUAUAAUAGGUCUUCUAUUGUAGAUUUAUUAAUCUUACUAAGAAUAUCACUUUUUAAAUGGUUUGUGUGAAGUGAUUAAGUUGACGACUUAUUGUUUAUUUAUCUUGUAAAACCGAACAUGAAUUAAUGUGUUUAACAUGAAAAAUAAACACUACAAUUUUCCAAAACGUUUAUAUACCAACAUCUCUAACUGCAUCCUAUAAUAAUAUAAUAAACCAAAAUGACUUU